UACGGAGGGGACUAGCGUUGUUCGGAAUUACUGGGCGUAAAGCGCGCGUAGGCGGCCCGAUAAGUCCGCUGUGAAAGUCAACGGCUCAACUGUUGGAUGCCGGUGGAUACUGUCGGGCUAGAGUACGGAAGAGGCAAGUGGAAUUCCUGGUGUAGCGGUGGAAUGCGCAGAUAUCAGGAGGAACACCUAUAGCGAAGGCAGCUUGCUGGGACGUUACUGACGCUAAGGCGCGAAAGCGUGGGGAGCGAACAGG
rnacentral:rRNA from 1 species